GAUGAAGAACGCAGUGAAAUGCGAUAAGUAGUGUGAAUUGCAGAAUUCAGUGAAUCAUCGAAUCUUUGAACGCACAUUGCGCCCCUUGGUAUCCCGAGGGGCAUGCCUGUUCGAGCGUCAUUUCACCACUCAAGCCUGGCUUGGUGUUGGGCGACGUCCCCUUUAGGGACGCGCCUCGAAACGCUCGGCGGCGUGGCACCGGCUUUAAGCGUAGCAGAAUCUUUCGCUUUGGAAGUCGGGGCCCCGCCUGCCGGAAUACCUACUCGUAAGGUUGACCUCGGAUCAGGCAGGGAUACCCGCUGAACUUAAGCAUAUCAAUAAGCGGAGGA
rnacentral:misc_RNA from 1 species